rnacentral:rRNA from 1 species
UACGAAGGGUGCAAGCGUUGUUCGGAAUUAUUGGGCGUAAAGGGUUUGUAGGCGGGAAUAUAAGUUAAGUGUAAAAUCCCUGGGCUUAACCCAGGACGGUCAUUUAAGACUGUAUUUCUUGAGUCUCAGAGAGGGUGGUGGAAUUACUGGUGUAGGAGUGACAUCCGUAGAGAUCAGUAGGAACACCGGAGGCGAAGGCGACCACCUGGCUGAAGACUGACGCUGAGGAACGAAAGCGUGGGGAGCAAACAGG